rnacentral:rRNA from 1 species
UACGGAGGGUGCAAGCGUUAUCCGGAUUCACUGGGUUUAAAGGGUGCGUAGGAGGGCAGGUAAGUCAGUGGUGAAAUCUCCAAGCUUAACUUGGAACUGCCGUUGAUACUAUCUGUCUUGAAUACCGUGGAGGUGAGCGGAAUAUGUCAUGUAGCGGUGAAAUGCUUAGAUAUGGAACAUAGAGCACCAAUUGCGAAGGCAGCUCGCUACACGAAUAUUGACUCUGAGGCACGAAAGCGUGGGGAUCAAACAGGAAUUAGAUUACCCGUGGU